rnacentral:rRNA from 1 species
CGCCGCGGUAAUACGGAGGGUGCAAGCGUUAAUCGGAAUUACUGGGCGUAAAGCGCACGCAGGCGGUCUGUCAAGUCAGAUGUGAAAUCCCCGGGCUUAACCUGGGAACUGCAUUUGAAACUGGCAGGCUAGAGUCUUGUAGAGGGGGGUAGAAUUCCAGGUGUAGCGGUGAAAUGCGUAGAGAUCUGGAGGAAUACCGGUGGCGAAGGCGGCCCCCUGGACAAAGACUGACGCUCAGGUGCGAAAGCGUGGGGAGCAAACAGGAUUAGAUACCCUGGUAGUCCACGCCGUAAACGAUGUCGACUUGGAGGUUGUGCCCUUGAGGCGUGGCUUCCGGAGCUAACGCGUUAAGUCGACCGCCUGGGGAGUACGGCCGCAAGGUUAAAACUCAAAUGAAUUGACGG